rnacentral:lncRNA from 10 species
AGUGUCCUCUGCAACCCUGGUAACUCACAUACAGGCCCGAUUCCACCUACAGCAAAGCUGGAUGCGAUGGCUGGCAGAGGCAAACCCUUUGCCUGCACUUCAGGCCAAAGCCGGGAUGUGGCCUAGAUGGUUCCUAAGCUUCUCAGAUGACCAAGAUGGUGCUGCAGAUGGUGCUGAGGAUGGAGAACCCACCAAGCCCCGCUAGGAGCCACCUAGACUGGAUGCAGAGCAUGCUCCACCGGGAACUCCACGCCCACGCGCCUCACUUCCAGGUCUCCUUACUGCGUGUCAGGAGAGGCUAACGGACAUCAGCUGCAGCCAGGCAUGUCCCGUAUGCCAAAAGAGGGUGCUGCCCCUAGCCUGGGCCCCCACCGACAGACUGCAGCUGCGUUACUGUGCUGAGAGGUACCCAGAAGGUUCCCAUGAAGGGCAGCAUGUCCAAGCCCCUGACCCCAGAUGUGGCAACAGGACCCUCGCUCACAUCCACCGGAGUGUAUGUGUGGGGAGGGGCUUCACCUGUUCCCAGAGGUGUCCUUGGACUCACCUUGGCACAUGUUCUGUGUUUCAGUAAAGAGAGACCUGAUCACCCAUCUGUGUGCUUCCAUCCUGCAUUAAAAUUCACUCAGUGUGGCC